UAUUGUAGUGUACUGCUCCCAGAUGUCUUUCUCCUGCUUGAACCUCAUCUACCUGAAAUUUUACCUUUCUGGACCUUCCCUUCACCAGAAAAGUAUAAUUCCCAGGCAGCAUUUUCUUAACAAAACAGAUGCAGAGUGCGUUCUUCAGUGAAGCUCAAUGUGGCAUUCCAUUCCGGUCCCUGGAUAUAAUUUGAGUUAACUUCACAACAGCCAACCAAAGUCAAAAAGGGGCCAUAAGAAGGAUGACGCAUUGGGGAGAGUGCCUAUCAGCUCACCACCGGGUUUUAGUUAAAGGAUGCACUUCUUCUCAUCUCUUCAGAAGAGACUUGGCUUCAUCUAUUGCUUCUCUUGGGUGAUCUCUGGGAAGAUGUUUCUCCUGGCCACAGUUUCCCCUGUUAGAAUGUCUGGUAUCGCCAAGCUUUUGCUCUCAGCUCAAUGGCCUGACCACCUACUGCCUCACCCUCUGGGCUUGGACACCGGAGCUGUCCCAGAACGGAGGGAGCGUAUGCUCUAUACCGCUGGCCUCGAUCAUUGCGUAGAAACACAGGUUUCACUCAAGCUGUUCUGCAAAGGAGUAUAGGAAUGCAGAUUCAGUGGCUCUAGAAACUCCUGUUAGAAGCUUGAAGACUGAAGACUCUGGCCUCAGCUAGGGAAGAGGAUCUGACUUCAAACAUGAGAAACACGAACGAAGAGUUCUUCAUUCUGCUCCACCCACCCCGGCACACGCCCCAAUCAAACAAACCUAAACCCACACUUCAGGGGUGUGUCCCCCC